rnacentral:sRNA from 1 species
UGCGCCUGCGGCAGGUGAAGCGCCGACCCGUUAUUUGAAGGCCUUGCAGGCGGCCGGACGGCGUUCAGCCCCGUAUCAUAAGCAACUGCUUAUUUCAAAGCUUUUU